rnacentral:rRNA from 1 species
UUGGUUUGCAUGUCUCCGUAGGUGACCUGCGGAGGGUCAUUACAAGUUGACCCCGGCCCUCGGGCCGGGAUGUUCACAAUCAAGUUGUCCGACUCUGUUGCCUCCGGGGCGACCCUGCCUCCGGGCGGGGGCCCCGGGUGGACAUUUCAAACUCUUGCGUAACUUUGCAGUCUGAGUAAAUUUAAUUAAUAAAUUAAAACUUUCAACAACGGAUCUCUUGGUUCUGGCAUCGAUGAAGAACGCAGCGAAAUGCGAUAAGUAAUGUGAAUUGCAGAAUUCAGUGAAUCAUCGAAUCUUUGAACGCACAUUGCGCCCCCUGGUAUUCCGGGGGGCAUGCCUGUUCGAGCGUCAUUUCACCACUCAAGCCUCGCUUGGUAUUGGGCGACGCGGUCCGCCGCGCGCCUCAAAUCGACCGGCUGGGUCUUUCGUCCCCUCAGCGUUGUGGAAACUAUUCGCUAAAGGGUGCCGCGGGAGGCCACGCCGUAAAACAACCCCAUUUCUAAGGUUGACCUCGGAUCAGGUAGGGAUACCCGCUGAACUUAAGCAUAUCAAUAAGCGGAGGAA